UACGUAGGCAGCAAGCGUUGUUCGGAGUUACUGGGCGUAAAGGGUGCGUAGGCGGCCUUAUAAGUAUGGUGUGAAAUCUCCCGGCUUAACUGGGAGGGUGCGCUAUAGACUGUGGGGCUAGAGUGUGGGAGAGGAAAGUGGAAUUCCUGGUGUAGCGGUGAAAUGCGUAGAUAUCGGGAGGAACACCAGUGGCGAAGGCGAUCACCUGGGGUUGUUCUGACGCUGAGGAGCGAAAGCUAGGGGAGCAAACGGG
rnacentral:rRNA from 1 species